AAUGAUUAGCAUAAUAUAAUUUUGGAAAAUACUGAUCCAAGUUUUAUUCCAGCUAUCAUUCACUUAAACCUUAAACAUUUAACAAUAAUACGAGAAAAAGUUUUUUUCCAAGUCUGUUACGGCCAUCCAAAGGAAUCUGAAAGCAGUUUUAUGAAUGUUUUCAGAUGCUCUUUCCAACUGUAUUUUUAGUUCAGUGGCAGCGGACCUCGAUAUGGAAAUUUCAUAAAUUUCUGACGAGAUUUUGGAUGUAGCCAUUUUAAGCAUAGCUAAAUAAAUUGAAGUGAAUGACAUAGUGGACCACAUUUAUCAGUCUGAACUUCAACUUUGUACGUGUGAUGUUGCAUAAAUAAAGCGAUCAGUUAUUA